rnacentral:rRNA from 1 species
GACGAACGCUGGCGGCGUGCUUAACACAUGCAAGUCGAACGGAAAGGCCCUGCUUUUGUGGGGUGCUCGAGUGGCGAACGGGUGAGUAACACGUGAGUAACCUGCCCUUGACUUUGGGAUAACUUCAGGAAACUGGGGCUAAUACCGGAUAGGAGCUCCGGCUGCAUGGUGGGGGUUGGAAAGUUUCGGCGGUUGGGGAUGGACUCGCGGCUUAUCAGCUUGUUGGUGGGGUAGUGGCUUACCAAGGCUUUGACGGGUAGCCGGCCUGAGAGGGUGACCGGCCACAUUGGGACUGAGAUACGGCCCAGACUCCUACGGGAGGCAGCAGUGGGGAAUAUUGCACAAUGGGCGGAAGCCUGAUGCAGCCACGCCGCGUGCGGGAUGACGGCCUUCGGGUUGUAAACCGCUUUCGCCUGUGACGAAGCGUGAGUGACGGUAAUGGGUAAAGAAGCACCGGCUAACUACGUG